rnacentral:rRNA from 1 species
ACGCUCGACACCUACUGGAGGCAGCAGUGGGGAAUAUUGCACAAUGGGGGAAACCCUGAUGCAGCGACGCCGCGUGGAGGAAGAAGGUCUUCGGAUUGUAAACUCCUGUUGUUGGGGAAAAAGAGGAUGGUACCCAACAAGGAAGUGACGGCUAACUACGCGCCCAGCACGCCGGACGGUAAUCUGAGGCGGGCGUGGACGAAGGC